GGGCCUGUGGUCUAGUUGGUUAUGACACCGCCUUUACACGGCGGAGGUCCGGAGUUCGAAUCUCCGUGGGCCCA
rnacentral:tRNA from 1 species